rnacentral:sRNA from 1 species
CGUGUUAUAUGCCUUUAUUGUCACGUUUAUUUUUCGUUGACGUAUUGAUAGCUAUUAUUAAUUAGCCAGCGAAUAAAUUGACAAGCCCGAACAACCCGUUCGGGCUUUUUUUUGGGUUCCA